CUCUGAAGGACCCAGUGAAGUAGGUGGAAAGAACAGCUACCACCGUACAAGACCAAGAGAGUAUCAAUUAGAGAAAAACUUCCUGUCUCAUCAUUUCCCGAGUCCACAGCCAAAUUUCCUGAUGCUACUUAUUUGUUAAGUGAUGAUGAAACAGACUGCAGGAACAGACAAGAAAACCCAGAUGUCUUCUAUUAAGAAAGACAAUAAAGAGAUAUGCAAAAAUGGAAAGCAAUACCACUUUGCCAUUUUUUAAGUUGGUGACAGGUGAGCCACUAAGCCACAUGGUGAGGGAGCUGUCCCAGGCUUGGGCAAGAGCAGUGCUGUUUGGGCCCCAGAGAUGAACUGUGGGACAGAAGAAGGAAAAAGGUCUGUAUGAGUCAGCUUUGUUACUGUAACAAAUACCCAAGAUAAUCCACUCACAAAGAGAAAAAGUUUACCUUGGCUCCUGGUUUUAGAAAUUCCAGUCUACAAA
rnacentral:lncRNA from 1 species